rnacentral:rRNA from 1 species
CGAAGAACCUUACCAGGGCUUGGACAUCCCCUGACCGCGUAUGAAAGUACGUUUUCACCUCGGGUGACAGGGAGACAGGUGGUGCAUGGUUGUCGUUCAGCUCGUGUCGUGAGAUGUUGGGUUAAGUCCCGCAACCGAGCGCAACCCCUACGUUUAGUUGCUAACGCGUGAAGGCGAGCACUCUAGACGAACUGCCGUUGACAAAACGGAGGAAGGUGGGAUGACGUCAAAUCAUCAUGCCCCUUAUGUUCUGGGCUACACACGUGCUACAAUGGCCGGUACAGACGGACGCAAAGCCGCGAGGUGGAGCAAAUCCUAAAAAGCCGGUCUCAGUUCGGAUUGCAGGCUGCAAUUCGCCUGCAUGAAGUCGGAAUCGCUAGUAAUCGCAGGUCAGCAUACUGCGGUGAAUACGUUCCCGGGCCUU